rnacentral:rRNA from 1 species
AGAGUUUGAUCCUGGCUCAGGACGAACGCUGGCGGCGUGCUUAACACAUGCAAGUCACGGGGGCCCGCAAGGGUAACCGGCGAACGGGUGCGUAACACGUGAGCAAGCUUCCGAUUUGUGGGGGAUAGCCGGCCCAACGGCCGGGUAAUACCGCAUACGUUCACUGGACGGCAUCGUCUGGUGAGGAAACCUCCGGGGCAAAUCGAGGCGCUCGCGGCCUAUCAGUUAGUUGGUAAGGUAACGGCUUACCAAGACAAUGAUGGGUAGGGGUCCUGAGAGGGAGAUCCCCCACACUGGUACUGAGACACGGACCAGACUCCUACGGGAGGCAGCAGUGAGGAAUAUUGGACAAUGGGCGCAAGCCUGAUCCAGCCAUGCCGCGUGCAGGAAGACGGUCCUAUGGAUUGUAAACUGCUUUUAUACAGGAAGAAACACUCCCUCGUGAGGGAGCUUGACGGUACUGUAAGAAUAAGGAUCGGCUAACUCCGUGCCAGCAGCCGCGGUAAUA